rnacentral:lncRNA from 1 species
UUUUUGAAAGAAAAAUUGAAAACAAGGGGUUAAAUCGUAAAAAAAAAAAAUUUGGUCACGUGGGACAAUCCAUUCAACAACCCGAGUUGUAACGGCCCCGAAAUUUAAAAUGAAAUAUGUGUAUUAAAAAGGUCAAAUGCGGAAGUGUAAUAAAAAUUUUGAUUAAUAUUCCUUACACUAAAACCAAAAACGUGCUCAA